rnacentral:rRNA from 1 species
UACGUAGGGGGCUAGCGUUGCUCGGAAUUACUGGGCGUAAAGGGCGCGUAGGCGGCUUGCACAGUCAGGCGUGAAAUUCCUGGGCUCAACCUGGGGACUGCGCUUGAGACGUGUGGGCUUGAGUGGGGAAGAGGGUCGUGGAAUUCCCAGUGUAGAGGUGAAAUUCGUAGAUAUUGGGAAGAACACCGGUGGCGAAGGCGGCGACCUGGUCCUUGACUGACGCUGAGGCGCGAAAGCGUGGGGAGCAAACAGG